rnacentral:rRNA from 1 species
AACGUCUCAGUUCGGAUUGUAGUCUGCAACUCGACUACAUGAAGCUGGAAUCGCUAGUAAUCGCAGAUCAGAAUGCUGCGGUGAAUACGUUCCCGGGCCUUGUACACACCGCCCGUCACACCAUGAGAGUUUGUAACACCCAAAGCCGGUGGGGUAACCUUUUGGAGCCAGCCGUCUAAGGUGGGACAGAUGAUUAGGGUGAAGUCGUAACAAGGUAUC